rnacentral:rRNA from 1 species
AUUGAACGCUGGCGGCAGGCCUAACACAUGCAAGUCGAACGGUAACAGGAAGAAGCUUGCUUCUUUGCUGACGAGUGGCGGACGGGUGAGUAAUGUCUGGGAAACUGCCUGAUGGAGGGGGAUAACUACUGGAAACGGUAGCUAAUACCGCAUAACGUCGCAAAACCAAAGAGGGGGACCUUCGGGCCUCUUGCCAUCGGAUGUGCCCAGAUGGGAUUAGCUAGUAGGUGGGGUAACGGCUCACCUAGGCGACGAUCCCUAGCUGGUCUGAGAGGAUGACCAGCCACACUGGAACUGAGACACGGGCCAGACUCCUACGGGAGGCAGCAGUGGGGAAUAUUGCACAAUGGGCGCAAGCCUGAUGCAGCCAUGCCGCGUGUAUGAAGAAGGCCUUCGGGUUGUAAAGUACUUUCAGCGGGGAGGAAGGGAGUAAAGUUAAUACCUUUGCUCAUUGACGUUACCCGCAGAAGAAGCACCGGCGAACUCCGG